rnacentral:rRNA from 1 species
CACGUAGGGCGCGAGCGUUGUCCGGAAUUAUUGGGCGUAAAGAGCUCGUAGGCGGUCUGUCGCGUCGGCUGUGAAAACUCGGGGCUCAACUCCGAGCUUGCAGUCGAUACGGGCAGGCUAGAGUUCGGCAGGGGAGACUGGAAUUCCUGGUGUAGCGGUGAAAUGCGCAGAUAUCGGGAGGAACACCGGUGGCGAAGGCGGUUCUCUGGGCCUUUCCUGACGCUGAGGAGCGAAAGCGUGGGGAGCGAACAGG